GGAAGGUGUGGGAGUUCAUCUGUGGGGUCUGAAGACGUGAGAGUGGUAGAGUCUACAGAAUCCUGUACACGUGGAGGGGAAGUGUGAGCUAAGGGCCUCAGCGCCCUGGUAUUGAAGACUUCCUGGUAAAGCAGGGCGUAUAAUUGGCUGUCUUGAGGGCACAACGUGGGAGACUCCAUGGGAAUACCGUGGCAGGGGGAUGACCUUGCAGGCCAGACCCAGAGCUUAGAGUGCAUCCAUGUGUCCCCCUGCCUGUUGCUGCUGAGGACUGAACACAGUGAUUGAUGGGAAGUGUGGUGUGACCUUUGAGGACAUUGCCGUGUACUUCUCCUGGAAGGAGUGGAGGCUUCUUGAUGAGGCUCAGAGACGGCUGUACCACCAUGUGAUGCUGGAGAACUUUACACUUAUAUCCUCACUGGAUAUUUAUGCCUGAGGCAGGGCUUAAUCUCUCCACCCAGACAUCAAGACCUGGGCCAAAACCAAGAGUUGGAUGCUUAAUUGACUGGGCCACCUAGACGCCCUUACAUUAUGGGGAAUUAUUACAAAUGAACCUAAUCGACACAGGAUCGCUUGACAUAAUUACGUUUUUUGUUGUUGGUGGUUCCAAAGCUUAGUAUCUACUCUGAUAGCAAAUUUCAAGUGUACAAUAAAAUAUUAACAACUGUA